AUUUUCCCUUCCCCAAUCUUCCCAACAAUCUUUCCUUGGGAGUCAUAACUUUCGGGUUGACAUCCCCACUCGAGGAGGGGUUUUAGUCGGUAGACGCUUCGGCGAAUCCGACACCACCCACCUUCAGAGGGUGUCUUUUGAAGAUUUCCCCUCCUCGAGGAUA
rfam:Agrilus planipennis Contig13478, whole genome shotgun sequence.